GAGAGAGACAUGCGCGCAUAUCAAUAAGCGGAGGAAAAGAAACUAACUAGGAUUCCCUUAGUAACGGCGAGUGAAGCGGGAAGAGCUCAAAUUUGAAAUCUUCAAGGUUUUACCUUGACGAAUUGUAGUUUAAAGAAGUGUUUUCUGCUGAAGUUUUGGUAAAAGUUCUUUGGAAUAGGACAUCAUAGAGGGUGAGAAUCCCGUAUUUGACCAUUAUUUUCAGCUUUGUGAUACACUUUCAAAGAGUCGGAUUGUUUGGGAAUGCAGUCCAAAAUGGGUGGUAAAUUUCAUCUAAAGCUAAAUAUUGGCGAGAGACCGAUAGCGAACAAGUACCGUGAGGGAAAGAUGAAAAGAACUUUGAAAAGAGAGUUAAACAGUACGUGAAAUUGUCAAAAGGGAAGCGUUUGACACCAGUGUUGUUUUCCUCGAAAAUCAAUUAAAAAUGGCUCGAUUUUGUAUUGUUGAGACCUUAAAAGCUCACUGUACAUUUUUCGUGUCUUUUUUAAUGCACUUUUCGUUUAACAAGUCAACAUCAGUUUCUUUUGUUGUAAAAGGGUCAUUGGAAGGUGGCUUUCUUUUCGGAGAAAGUGUUUAUAGCCUUUGGCCUCUGCAAUCGAAGAGACUGAGGUCUACAGCGUAGACUCUUCGGGGUUAGAUACAUUUGUGCUAAGUUAUAGCUUUUUAUAGACAACUUGUUGACUAUAAUUAGUCUUGUAGCUUACUCGCUUAUGCUAUUUUACCUACGCUUAGGAUGUUGAGUCGUAGAGCACGCAG
rnacentral:rRNA from 1 species